AUUGAACGCUGGCGGCAGGCCUAACACAUGCAAGUCGAACGAGUGGCGGACGGGUGCGUAAUGUCUGGGAAACUGCCUGAUGGAGGGGGCUCACUACUGGAAACGGUAUCUAAUACCGCAUACCAUCUGAUGUGCCCAGAUGGGAUUAGCUAGUAGGUGGGGUAACGGCUCACCUGGGCGACGAUCCCUAGCUGGUCUGAGAGGAUGACCACCCAGACUGGAACUGAGAAACGGUCCAGACUCCUACGGGAGGCAGCAGUGGGGAAUAGUGAACAAUGGGCGCAAGCCUGAUGCAGCCAUGCCGCGUGUAUGAAGAAGGCCUUCGGGUUGUAAAGUACUUUCAGCGGGGAGGCGUUACCCGCAGAAGAAGCACCGGCGAACUCCGUGCCAGCAGCCGCGGUAAUAC
rnacentral:rRNA from 1 species